rnacentral:rRNA from 1 species
UACGUAGGGAGCGAGCGUUGUCCGGAAUUACUGGGCGUAAAGGGUGCGUAGGCGGCAGGCCAAGUCAGAUGUGAAAUCCCCGGGCUUAACUCGGGUGGUGCAUUUGAAACUGGUCAGCUUGAGUGCAGGAGAGGAAAGCGGAAUUCCUAGUGUAGCGGUGAAAUGCGUAGAUAUUAGGAGGAACACCAGUGGCGAAGGCGGCUUUCUGGACUGUAACUGACGCUGAGGCACGAAAGCGUGGGGAGCAAACAGGAUUAGAUACCCUGGUAGUCCACGCUGUAAACGAUGGAUACUAGGUGUGGGGGACAUACAACCUCAGUGCCGGAGCUAACGCAAUAAGUAUCCCGCCUGGGGAGUACGGUCGCAAGGCUGAA